AAAGUGGAUUAGCGACGGACGGGUGAGUAACACGUGAGUAACCUGCCUUAGACAUUGGGAUAGCCUCGGGAAACCGGGAUUAAUACCAAAUAAAAUCAUAAUGACACAUGUCAUAACGAUCAAAACUCCGGUGGUCUAAGAUGGACUCGCGUCCCAUUAGCUAGUUGGUAGAGUAAAAGCCUACCAAGGCGACGAUGGGUAGCCGGCCUGAGAGGGUGAACGGCCACAUUGGAACUGAGAAACGGUCCAA
rnacentral:rRNA from 1 species